GAUGAAGAACGUAGCGAAAUGCGAAAAGUAGUGUGAAUUGCAGAAUUCAGUGAAUCAUCGAAUCUUUGAACGCACAUUGCGCCCGCCAGUAUUCUGGCGGGCAUGCCUGUUCGAGCGUCAUUACAACCCUCAGGCCCCCGGGCCUGGCGUUGGGGAUCGGCGGAAGCCCCCUGUGGGCACACGCCGUCCCUCAAAUACAGUGGCGGUCCCGCCGCAGCUUCCAUUGCGUAGUAGCUAACACCUCGCAACUGGAGAGCGGCGCGGCCAUGCCGUAAAACACCCAACUUCUGAAUGUUGACCUCGAAUCAGGUAGGAAUACCCGCUGAACUUAAGCAUAUCAAUAAGCGGAGGA
rnacentral:misc_RNA from 1 species